rnacentral:rRNA from 1 species
AGAGUUUGAUCCUGGCUCAGAACGAACGCUGGCGGCAGGCUUAACACAUGCAAGUCGAACGCAUCCUUCGGGGUGAGUGGCAGACGGGUGAGUAACGCGUGGGAACGUGCCCUUCAGUUCGGAAUAACCCAGGGAAACUUGGGCUAAUACCGGAUACGUGCGAGAGCAGAAAGAUUUAUCGCUGAAGGAUCGGCCCGCGUCUGAUUAGCUGGUUGGUGGGGUAAUGGCCCACCAAGGCGACGAUCAGUAGCUGGUCUGAGAGGAUGAUCAGCCACAUUGGGACUGAGACACGGCCCAAACUCCUACGGGAGGCAGCAGUGGGGAAUAUUGGUCAAUGGAUGCAAGUCUGAACCAGCCAUGCCGCGUGCAGGAAGAAGGCCUUCUGGGUUGUAAACUGCUUUUGCCGGGGGAUAAAAUUCCCAUGCGUGGGAAAUUGAAGGUACCCGGUGAAUAAGCCACGGCUAACUACGUGCCAGCAGCCGCGGUAAUACGUAGGUGGCAAGCGUUGUCCGGAUUUAUUGGGUUUAAAGGGUGCGUAGGCGGCCUAUUAAGUCAGUUCUGAAAUAUCCCGGCUUAACCGGGAGGGUGGGAUUGAUACUGAUGGGCUUGAGUGGAGUCGAGGUAGGCGGAAUUGACGGUGUAGCGGUGAAAUGCUUAGAUAUCGUCAAGAACACCGAUAGUGUAGACAGCUUACUAGACUUCAACUGACGCUGAGGCACGAAAGUGUGGGGAUCAAACAGGAUUAGAUACCCUGGUAGUCCACACUGUAAACGUUGAUUACUCGCUGUGUGCGAUAUACAGUACGCGGCUUAGCGAAAGCGAUAAGUAAUCCACCU